AUUGAACGCUGGCGGCAGGCCUAACACAUGCAAGUCGAGCGAGCGGCGGACGGGUGAGUAAUGUAUGGGGAUCUGCCUGAUGGAGGGGGAUAACUACUGGAAACGGUGGCUAAUACCGCAUACCAUCAGAUGAACCCAGAUGGGAUUAGCUAGUAGGUGGGGUAAAGGCUCACCUAGGCGACGAUCCAUAGCUGGUCUGAGAGGAUGAUCAGCCACACUGGAACUGAGACACGGCCCAGACUCCUACGGGAGGCAGCAGUGGGGAAUAUUGCACAAUGGGCGCAAGCCUGAUGCAGCCAUGCCGCGUGUGUGAAGAAGGCCUUAGGGUUGUAAAGUACUUUCAGCGGGGAGGCGUUACUCGCAGAAGAAGCACCGGCUAACUCCGUGCCAGCAGCCGCGGUAAUUC
rnacentral:rRNA from 1 species